UCUCAGUUCGGAUUGUAGUCUGCAACUCGACUACAUGAAGCUGGAAUCGCUAGUAAUCGCGAAUCAGAAUGUCGCGGUGAAUACGUUCCCGGGUCUUGUACACACCGCCCGUCACACCAUGGGAGUUGGUAACGCCCGAAGUCAGUGACCUAACCGAGAGGGAGGAGCUGCCGAAGGCGGGACCGAUAACUGGGGUGAAGUCGUAACAAGGUACC
rnacentral:rRNA from 1 species